rnacentral:lncRNA from 1 species
CAGGUUUGUUGGAUAAUGACAUGAAAUCACUUGUUUAAGUACCAUACAUGUACCUCUAUUUUCAUCAAAAGAAUCACUUCUUUUUAUUUUAAUGACCCACACUAAUUUCAACACCCCCUGUUCAAACAGAGAAAUUUGUUCAACUAAUAUAGAAUUUACAGCUAAAUGCCUAAAUGGUUGCAUCAAAGGCAUAAACCUUGCUAUUUAAAAGAAUUGUUUUUUUCUUCCAAUUUUACUAAUAAGAUGUAAUCAUGAUAAUCAUGAUAAUAUAAACCUAUAUAUGUUUAAAAUUUUGGUAAAACUACAAAAUUUCAAUUUACAUUUGUAAGACAAAACUUCAAAUUUACACUUUAAUAUUCUUGUAAGUCCCCUGACUGUUUAUAUUUGGCAUUUUGCUAUUGUAUUAGUUCUUUGCAAAGCUCAUGCAUAUGAUUUUCUGCAAAGGCAAGCACAGUGUUGAAAAAUAUUAGCCUAAUAGGGCAGAUAUGCCUACGUAGGCAAUAUCCUUUUACUUCACAGCUUUUUUUUUGCUGGUUACUAGUACAAGGGAAUCAGUCCAACUUUAUUCAACAGUGCUUGUUUUGACAUGUUUUUUUCUUUCAACCAUUUAAUUUCUAUUACAAAAUACCAAAAUUGGAAG